CAGUAGCCGCGGUAAUACGUAGGUGGCAAGCGUUGUCCGGAUUUACUGGGCGUAAAGCGAACGCAGGCGGACUGUUAAGUAGGAAGUGAAAGGUCGGAGCUCAACUCCAACAUUGCUUCCUAUACUGGCAGUCUUGAGUAGCGGAGAGGAAGGGGGAACGACACGUGUAGCGGUGAAAUGCGUUGAUAUGUGUCGGAACACCCAUGGCGAAAGCACCCUUCUGGACGCAAACUGACGCUCAGGUUCGAAAGCCAAGGUAGCGAACAGGAUUAGAUACCCCCGUAGUCCCUGUCUCUUAUAC
rnacentral:rRNA from 1 species